AUUGAACGCUGGCGGCAUGCUUUACACAUGCAAGUCGAACGGUAACAGGGAGCUUGCUCCGCUGACGAGUGGCGAACGGGUGAGUAAUAUAUCGGAACGUGCCCAAGAGUGGGGGAUAACGUAGCGAAAGUUACGCUAAUACCGCAUACGAUCCAAGGAUGAAAGCAGGGGACCUUCGGGCCUUGUGCUCCUGGAGCGGCCGAUAUCUGAUUAGCUAGUUGGUGAGGUAAAGGCUCACCAAGGCGACGAUCAGUAGCUGGUCUAAGAGGACGACCAGCCGCACUGGAACUGAGACACGGUCCAGACUCCUACGGGAGGCAGCAGUGGGGAAUUUUGGACAAUGGGGGCAACCCUGAUCCAGCAAUGCCGCGUGAGUGAAGAAGGCCUUCGGGUUGUAAAGCUCUUUUGUCAGGGAAGAAAAGGGUACGGCUAAUAUCCGUGCCUCAUGACGGUACCUGAAAAAUAAGCACCGGCUAACUACGUGCCAGCCGCCGCCGUAA
rnacentral:rRNA from 1 species